UACGAAGGGGGCUAGCGUUGCUCGGAAUCACUGGGCGUAAAGGGUGCGUAGGCGGGUCUUUAAGUCAGGGGUGAAAUCCUGGAGCCCAACUCCAGAACUGCCUUUGAUACUGAGGAUCUUGAGUUCGGGAGAGGUGAGUGGAACUGCGAGUGUAGAGGUGAAAUUCGUAGAUAUUCGCAAGAACACCAGUGGCGAAGGCGGCUCUCUGGACCGAUACUGACGCUGAGGCGCGAAAGCGUGGGGAGCAAACAGG
rnacentral:rRNA from 1 species